rnacentral:rRNA from 1 species
ACUCCUACGGGAGGCAGCAGUAGGGAAUCUUCCACAAUGGGACGAAAGUCUGAUGGAGCAACGCCGCGUGAGUGAAGAAGGGUUUCGGCUCGUAAAACUCUGUUGUUAAAGAAGAACAUAUCUGAGAGUAACUGUUCAGGUAUUGACGGUAUUUAACCAGAAAGCCACGGCUAACUACGUGCCAGCAGCCGCGGUAAUACGUAGGUGGCAAGCGUUGUCCGGAUUUAUUGGGGCGUAAAGCGAGCGCAGGCGGUUUUUAAGUCUGAUGUGAAAGCCUUCGGCUCAACCGAAGAAGUGCAUCGGAAACUGGGAAACUUGAGUGCAGAAGAGGACAGGUGGAACUCCAUGUGUAGCGGUGAAAUGCGUAGAUAUAUGGAAGAACACCAGUGGCGAAGGCGGCUGUCUGGUCUGUAACUGACGCUGAGGCUCGAAAGUAUAGGUAGC